CCUACGGGUGGCUGCAGUGGGGAAUAUUGCACAAUGGGCGCAAGCCUGAUGCAGCCAUGCCGCGUGUGUGAAGAAGGCCUUCGGGUUGUAAAGCACUUUCAGCGGGGAGGAAGGCGUUAAGGUUAAUAACCUUGGCGAUUGACGUUACCCGCAGAAGAAGCACCGGCUAACUCCGUGCCAGCAGCCGCGGUAAUACGGAGGGUGCAAGCGUUAAUCGGAAUUACUGGGCGUAAAGCGCACGCAGGCGGUCUGUCAAGUCGGAUGUGAAAUCCCCGGGCUCAACCUGGGAACUGCAUUCGAACUGGCAGGCUAGAGUCUUGUAGAGGGGGGUAGAAUUCCAGGUGUAGCGGUGAAAUGCGUAGAGAUCUGGAGGAAUACCGGUGGCGAAGGCGGCCCCCUGAACAAAGACUGACGCUCAGGUGCGAAAGCGUGGGGAGCAAACAGGAUUAGAUACCCCUGUAGUC
rnacentral:rRNA from 1 species